rnacentral:lncRNA from 1 species
AUGGCGACCGAUGCGUCCCGCGCUCUAGGCGAAGACCGCGGCCCCGUCCCCGCGCCUCCACCGCCUUCUUCCAGGAGGAGGGGCCGUGCGGCGCCUGCCCGGGGGCCCUCAGGCCGCAGGCGGGCGCGAGCUUCAGGGAACUUAGGGGGCUCCCGCCUCCCCGGCCACGCGAGCGGGAACAGUCUCCUCCACUCGGAGCGGCGCCAUCUUCAGCUCUGAGUCACCAGGGCUGGAAAAAUACUAGAUGCGCUACUCGUGGACUCGUGAAUACACUCGUGAAUACAGGCCAUUUCCUGUACCUACAGCCACCCGCUAUUAUAGAUCCAGACUCCUGUGCCUGACCACUGCCCAUGGCCAACUCUCUGCUGAUGACUGGACUUGACUACACAAGUUGUUGGCCAUCUUAAAACCACUCAAAGUUGACGGUCUCCUCUCCUGCCUCCUGCGGCUUCCAUUACCAUGGCAGAGACUGUGGUGUCUGAGGUGGUGUAGCGUACUGAAGCAAGGCUGUCUUGAAGAAGAGGAGACAACUCACAAUUCUACCACCUUUGUUGACCUCUUCUUCCCCCCAACUUAUUGCUGUAGAGGCUACCUGAGCUCAUUGUCCCUGGAGAUGGACCAAAUAGAAGAAUAAGCAGUGCCUGUGUGGUGAGCUUCAAGAGGCAUCUGUUCUCUGGGGAGUGGGUGGGUGGUAAAGCAAAGACGGGAGAUGUGUAUAUUAGCUAUCCAUUACUGUAUAAUUAAUUAUACACAAAACUAAACUAUACACUAAACUAAAACUUCACAGCUUAAAACAGGAAAUAUGUAUUAUCUCACACAAUUUCUGAGAGUCAGGAAUCUGAAAAUGGCUUAGCUAGUUUGGUUCUGGCUCAGGGUGACCUAUGGAGUUGCAGCCAAGAUGUCAUCUGGGACUACUAUCAUUGGAAGGCUCAGCUGGGGCUGGAGGCUACACUUCCAAGAUGGCUCACUUAUAGGGCUAUUGGUGGGAGGCUUCAGUUCCUCUCCACAUGAAACUUUCCUCAUGCCAUGGAACUGGCUUCCCUCAGAGUGAAAGACCCAAGAGAGAGACUAAGACAGAAGCUGCAAUGUUUUUAUGACCUAGUCUUGGAAGUGACUUACUGUCAUUUCUACUGUAUUUUAUUCAUUAGAAGCAAGUCAUUAAGUCCAGCCCACAUUCAAAGUAAGAGGAUUUAAGCUGAACCUCUUGAAAAAAUGGUAUCAAAGUAUUUACGGACAUUUUAAAAACUACCACAAUACAUAUAGGUGAACUUCACAAGGUGUAGACAUGGGCUGAGACAGAAUAUUGGAUAAUAUCUCAUUCUGCAAACAGCAGCCUCAUCUGUAAUAAAAUCCCAGCAUUCAGAAAUUAUCACGAUCAAGUAGGAAAAGGGCUUGUUGGAAAAAACUUAUCAAAGAUGUUACUUCAUUUAUCCAUUUAUUCUGAGCCAUAGCAUAAUAGCGACAAAUUGUGUGUCCUGUGUAAUUUGGAUACCUCUGCUCAAUAAUAGCUGAACAGAUUUUAUCCUAUUUUUAGAAUAGUUAAUAUAUACACAUGGCACAAAAUUUAAAAGGUAUAAAAGUUUCUGGUUCAAAAAUAAGAUUCCCUCAUUUUCUUUUUUUCUGAUUCUUUGAAUGCAAUUCGAUUUACUGAUUUCUCAUGUAGCCUUAGAAAGUAUUCUAUGUACUUACAAACAUAUAUGUACACAUAUUUUUUCUUUCCCACAAAUAAAAUACUGUAUGCAUUGUUUUA